GAUCAGCCUGGAAAAUAGUUAAAAUAAGAAUGUCAGGGUUAGCCAAUCAGAGGCAGAAUACUGUAGAGUAGGGCGGGGCAUGCCUUCUUUGCCAUCCUGGGAAAAUAAUACUCGCAUCCCAAGUAGCUUGCUAGAUAGCUAGCUAGACAUCGAAAGCGACAUCCGUACGAACUUCGAAGCAGCAACUGCACACCAAAGAGAUGAUGCCCAUUCGUCAAAAGUUGUCAGACAACUUUCACUGAAGCCCGAGGCCCCUGUCCGAAAAUGCGUCAUGGCAACCGCUGGGUCAGGUGCGCUGCCACAUGGGCGGCAGUGAAGGUCAGGGGCCUUGAUGGACCAAACCCGGGCGGCAGUAAUGAAGCACUGGAGUUAAAUUCAUGCAUGUGAGGAAUCUCACCUGAAAAUAUAUUGUUUGUUUUUGCCCAUACUGGUGUACUACUACAAUACUGUUUAACUACAUAGAGACCCAGGGAGCUGUACUAGUCGUACAUUUCUCCUCCUAGUGCCAUAUGACAGCAAUGAGAAGGUGAGUCCCGACUUCCAUGCCGCCAACCGAACAUGUCAAGUCGGCCAAAAUGAACGCCGACAGCCCCCCAGACGGACGACGGCACGGGACACACCGAACAGAUUUGAGUCACUGACCUCGCCAGACUGUCCCACGGCCGAUAAUCGGCCUGAUGUGUCCCGGCCUUAAGAUACUAGGGAAGUCUGUUUCAGAUCCUCAGUUCUGGUAGCUUAUGACCCAUCUAAGCAUACCUAAUGUGGUUUUUGAUCACACUUUUUCUCUGACUCAUACAAAAUGACAUCUGGCUUCCUUGCACCUCUAUUCCCUUUAUAAAAAGGCCACGUGGCUAUGCACACUGCUUUUCACACAGGUACAUCAGAGUCAGUGAGUCAUAUUUAAACAUUUUAGAAAUGUUAUCACUGAAAAUGUAUCUCUUUGUUUUAUAUAGUUUCCACCCAGGGACAAGAGACCACAUUGGGAACCAAAAAUGACAUUCAUAUCCAACACUUAAUAGUAAAGUUUCUGUGACUUGUGAUUUGUAAAUCUGUGAAAAUGUAGCAGGCUUUUUUGC